rnacentral:rRNA from 1 species
CCUACGGGAGGCAGCAGUGAGGAAUAUUGGUCAAUGGCCGGGAGGCUGAACCAGCCAAGUCGCGUGAGGGAAGACGGCCCUACGGGUUGUAAACCUCUUUUGUCAGGGAGCAAGGUGCAGGUCGGGACCUGCUGUGAGAGUACCUGAAGAAAAAGCAUCGGCUAACUCCGUGCCAGCGGCCGCGGUAAUCCGGAGGAUCCGAGCGUUAUCCGGAUUUAUUGGGUUUAAAGGGUGCGCAGGCGGAGGCACAAGUCAGCGGUAAAAUCGCGGGGCUCAACCCCGCUCCGCCGUUGAAACUGUGGCCCUUGAGUGCGCGAAGGGUAGGCGGAAUGCGUGGUGUAGCGGUGAAAUGCAUAGAUAUCACGCAGAACUCCGAUCGCGAAGGCAGCCUACCGGCGCGCAACUGACGCUCAUGCACGAAAGCGUGGGUAUCGAACAGGAUUAGAUACCCCAGUAGUC